CAAGGUCAGAAAUUAAUUGGAGACACUGCAAAACACACAGCCUGUAAUAUUUCAGUUCAGUGAGGUCACAAGAAAAACUCAGUUAAAGCCUUAUUAGAGCAGUUUACAGGAGCACAUUACUGCGAAUAUGAAAUGAGAGUCUUGUCUUGAUGGAUGCGUCACCUACCCAAGAUAUUUGUUGAGAAUAAUUUGAAAAUCACCCCCGUACAUGGUUGUAUAUUCUUCGUUGUGGGUCCUUCUAGUUGUGGCAUGUGGGACGCUGCCUCAGCGUGGUUUGACGAGCAGUGCCAUGUCCGCGCCCAGGAUUCGAACCAACGAAACACUGGGCCGCCUGCAGCGGAGCGCGCGAACUUAACCACUCGGCCACGGGGCCAGCCCCUGCAAUUAAUAUUUUUAUCCGGCCCAAGAAUCCUCUACCUACGGCUGGCAGAUGAAGAAAAGAAAUCGGAGGAGGCACACUGUCUACAGGCGGAGAACCGGACGGUGGCCCCCCACAAACCCACUGGGACUCCUGGUGCUAGCACCUCCGGUUUGACAGCCUGAUGCUCAUUUCCUCCGUCUCUGACCCUGUCAUGGAAUCUAACUCAGGCUGCCGAUGUUUCUUACUGCUCUCACUUCCUGUUUGCUACUCAGUAUUGUACCACAUCCUGAUUUCUAUGUUUUCACCUCAGCCUCGUAACCUAAAAAUAACUUUUCUCUGAUGCCCUCCUGGCUUUCUAGGGUUUAAAGUUCUGCCCCACACUCUGACUAAAUAAGUGCACUGCAGCUCCCCAUCAGGAGUAAUGCAUUGAAAUGGAGUAACAGAAAUGAAACACAACAUUCUCCUUUUGUAAAACAGAGCCGUAGGAAUGCUUCCUGGUAUCUAAUACAUUUGGUCGGUCAUGAUAUCACACAGCCGUAUUUCAUAAAAGCCUUUUAUCCAUACCUUUUAGUUAGUGCAUUGACAACAAAAUUUGGUUUAUCCCCCCUACUAUAUUUGUUUAAUCUUUUUUGUCCCCUAUCUACCUUGUAUUGACCAUUACUAAAUGUCAUCUUUUCUAGAUUAACCAAUUUUCUUAGUCAUCUUGUAUAUUAUUCCUGGUUUCUAGAACAGUAACAUUGUUACUUAGUUUAGUAAUAUUUACAAAUUUGUUGAGCAAAUUCUCGGUUAUAUUUUCUAUUAGAUUUAUUCAUUGAAAUUACCAUGAAUUAGAUCAGUACAUCUGCCUAAAGUCUGGAGAAGAUCAAUUAUAUUAAAUAUUUCAAAUAUUUGAAAAUUGGAUUGGAAGAUCUUUCAAUAAUACUAAAAUAUUCUCUCUCUAGAAAUAUAUCUGAGUUACAUCCCAUCAGAGACUUAAAUUCAGACUAGACAAGACAUAAGAAAUGUUAUUUAAAGAAUAUUCUUUUAUUACAUAUAAGAUUAAGUUAACUGACAUAUGAUGUGCUUUUUGUUUUCCACUUUGUGAUUUUAUGAUCCUUUAUUUACAAGGUCUAUAGGAUUUUCAGCCUGAAUGCAAUUCAUUUGUUUGCAUCCAAGUUAUUCUCCUAUUUACACACAGGAGUUUCCAUCCUAAUGCUGAUUUAAUAUUCUUUUUAAAUAUCAUGUUAAAAUCUCAAGGAUAUAAAGGAAAAUAGAUGUAAUAUUUUAAUGCUGGUUUAUGUCCAUAUUCCACUUGAAAUGUAUAUGGAAAGCACAAGAAAAUAGCUCCUUUCACUUCAGAAUGUUUGCCAUGUCUUUGAUAAGAAAACAAGAAGUCGAACUGCAUGCUGGGAUGUUCUGUCUUGAAAACAGUCCAUGUUUUCAUCCAAGGAAUCAUCUGAAGAGACACACAGACAGCUGCAGACUCGUCCCAUAGCUAAGAGUCUUCCAGAGAAUCCUAUGAAGCCACUGCCACAGUCCAUGGGGAAAUGGCUGACCUCUGACCCCGCCUGACAGCCAGUACUCUUGUUAUCCUGCUGUGCAACAAGUCAAAUUAGGCUAUAAUUACUCUGCAGACAACAGGCUGCAAUUAUACAUUCAAGUCUCAGGGUCUGGAAGGAGGGAGAUUGUGGCUGGAAGGGGAUGAGGAGAAGUCAAAAAGUCACAAGACAAACCACUUUUUCAUAUUUUUCUCUAAAAAAGCAUAGCUGUAAUGUGUGCUCCUUAAGAGGAGGAUCAAACCACAGUGGACAGCAACCAUUCUCUUACUCAAAACACCAUGAAGACAUUGCUUUCAAGGACUCUAAUAGAUGGAUACACCAAAGGCUAUGUGACUAUCUAAUAAAUAAAAGGAAGGAAACUCUGUGGUUCCCAGACGUUCCUGUGCAGAUGCUGUUUACUAUUACUGAUUCAUUUUAAUUCAACAAAAAAUUAAUAAACAAUAAUUAGGGACCAGAUUGGGACUGGGAGAAAUAAGAUAUGCACUUAAUAUUUUUCAGUUAUGUUUUAAGAACUACUUUGUUUUCAUUUUUUAAUUUAUAUAAAGUCUAGGUAUGAAGAAAUUUUCAUUAAAGCAGACCACAGUAUUCCGGAAAAAUAUUUCUAAAACCCUAUCUUUAAAUAUGCAAAAUGUUUUACAACAGCAAAUUAUGUAGGUUGAACAGCAUAGAACUGCCCAUAGAAGUCAGUCUGCACUGGCUGCCUUUGAGAUUGUCUGCAAAACUGUCAGCACUUCUGCUCUCCCUAGCCAAGGUUGUAGAUUUACCACAUAAUUUAGAGUUUUCUCAGGAAUGAGAUGGCUUGUAUUUGCUCACCAAAUUUCUGUUGUUUGCUUGUUCUGCCUGUUGAAAUGACUUUAGGACUAAACACCCAUCUCCUAAUGAGGCAAACCAGGCCAUUAAAAAUAUCUUCCUCAUGUUAAAACAGAAGGCUUUGUUUUAGUUAUCAUCCAUUGAUAACUAAACUCUAUGUUUUGUGUACGAGUCCCUGGCCACAUUCCACUUGGAAAAUCUUUUAAUCUUUAAAGACAGUUAUAAUGCUACCCCCCUAACUGGAUAUUCUUUGUUUAUUUUCUCUCUGACAUGAUUUUAACUCUUUUAGCAAUCUCAUAUGGACAAAUAUCCUUAUACUUUAUGGCACCUAGAACUUAAUACAAAAUUCCGGAGGUGUUCUGAUUAAUGCAAAACAGUCUGGCACUGUCCCCUUCAUUGUUCUAUUGUUCUAUUAAUACACUGUGAUCACAGAGUUCUCUGAGCACCCACAUUAAAGUGUUGCCUCUCUUGGAACUUACUACAAACCAAAACCUCAAAGUCUUUUUCACACAUGCUCCAAUGUGUGCUUUUUUCUACACCACCAAGCAAUUAACUCUGACCAAGUAAUUCAUUCUGACACUAUCUACCUGGAGAUAGCAUCAGAUCCCACAGGUUAAAGGCUCAGUUCCACAAGACUGCACUCACUUCAGACUCCAAUAGUAAGUCCAAGAUCUUACCUGUGUUUCUGACUCACUGGCUAUAAAUGGAUGUCCCCACGACCCACUCCUUGGGUUGGAUUAAUUUGCUAUAGCAGCUCACAGAACUCGGAGAAACACUUUAUUUACCAAAUUAUCAGUUUAUUAUAAAAGGAUACACUUUAUUUACCAAAUUAUCAGUUUAUUAUAAAAGGAUAUAAUUCAGGAACAGCCAGAUGGAAGAGAUGUGUAGGGCAAGGUAUGGGGAAAGAGGAACUUCCAUGCCCUCCUCAGGCGCAUCGCUCUCUGAGCACCUCCACGUGUUCACGAACCUGAAAGCUCACCAAUCCCCAUCCUUUUGAGUUUUUAUGGAGGUUUCGUUACAUAGUCAAGAUUGACUAAAUAAUUGACCAUUGGUGAUUGCUUCAACCUUCAGCCCCUCUCCCCUCCCAAGGGGUCAAGGGGAUUGGACUGUAAGUUUUGACCCUCUAAUCACUCCAUUGGUUCCCCUGGCAACCAGUUCCCCAUUCUUAGGUUAUCUAGAGGCUUUCCAAGAAGUCACCUCAUUAACAUAACAAAAGACGCUUUUGUGGCUCUCACCUCUUUUGAAAUUCCAAGGGUUUUAGGAGCUCUGAGACUUGGGUGCCUGGGAGAAAGACCAAAUAUUUAUUUCUCAUGAUAAAUCACAGUACCACACAAGCUAAGCCACAUACAUUGCUUCUCUCAGGUGUUCUCACUUUUCUUUCUUGGAUCCAAGGGUCAGUUCUUACAUUUAUCUUGGUUAAAUUUCAUCUUGUUCAUUUCGACCAAAUAAUGCCAGUUUUCAAUAUCAUUCUAGAUUCCGAAGCUGUCAUUCAAAGUACAAGUGCCCAAUGAAAUGUUAUUAAUGGAAUAAAUUAAGCAAAACUACCAGCAAUACAAAUAAAUGAUUCAUAAUUUCAUACCAAUAGGUUAAAAUUAUAUGACAAUACAAUUACAUCAUUGAAGUAAUGUCCUCUAUAUUUCAUUCAAGGAGAAUAAUUCAACUGAAGUAAAUAAAGCCAAGGUUAACACGAGACUCUUCCACUAAGAUUAUAUUAAUUUAGUGGUAGCAAGUAUGGUCUUGGAGUCAAACUUCUUGUGUUCAUAUAUUGGCAUCUCCUUUUGCUUAUUGAGUGAACUUGGCAAAGUUUACUUACUCUCUAACCCUCAGUUUCCUUGUCUGUAAAACUGGAAUAUACCUCUCAUAGGUUACGUUAAAUAUUAAAUGAGAUAACACAUAUGUUUAGUACAACAUGUGGCACAUGGUAAGUGUUCAGUAAAUGAUAGUUAUUAGAUUAUUAUUAUGUGAACAAUUUUUAAAUAAAAUCCUUCAACUCUUCUCGAAUCUAUUUAGUUGUUUUAAAUCUAGUCCACACUUUCCAAUCUCUUCCACUAAAAUCCCAUAAGAAAAUUUAUCAAGUGCCUUGCUAAUGCCUCUACACGUUCUACACAUUUGUCAUAUAUCUGCUAUAUAUUCCUGAUUAUUCAGUCAGGUAAGCCCAUGAAAGACAGACCUGAGCUCAGUCUGAUAUGACUUUUCCAAGUGUUUUAGGUAAUCUAUGUGAUAAUUAUGGAUUAUUAAUUAUUUGUUAAAUAUUCAUAGUCAUUUAAAUAUCCAUUCCAGAUUUUACCCGGAAUGGAUGUUGAGUUCAUAUGUUUGAAAUAAAUAUCCUUACAAGAAGUUUAAGUUAAUCCAAACUUUUCUUUCUAAAUAUUUAUUCUCACUUAUAGUUCUGUAGCCAAAAAUCUCGAAACUUAUUUUUAAUGACAGGAAGCAGCAAAAGAAAAGUACAGGUAGAAUUUUCUAAUGAUCUAUUAUUCAGCUUCCUCACACACAUUCUUUUUCAAUCAGAUUUCUUCUUCUAGAAACCAGAGUAAGUGUCUAACAUGAACAAAUAUGCAAACUAGCAGAGUUAAUUCGUAGAUUAAUUUCAGGAUAAUGAAUUCAUCCUUAAUGGAGCAAAUUCCAAGACUCAGGAAUAUUUAAUGCUGUGCACUCAGGUAAACAUAGAAAUAUGCCACGUAUACCAGUCUUGGCCAAUAAACCUCCAAAAAUCUGAGGAAAUAUCAUUGUCAUGUACAGUGGAGGGGGCCAAUUCAAAAAGUCUGGGUUUGGCCACUUUCACUUGACUUUAACAUUAUUUCAUCUUGAAGCCUUGUAUUUCUUUCAAUUGACUUUAACGUUUUUUCAUCUUAAAGCCUUCUCUGUAUUUCUCAUAUACGAAAUGAAAUGUGAUGUUUGGAUAAGACGGCAUUGAAACAAAUCUUAAUAUUAAUGACAAAAUUAAUAAUUAUUAUAUAAUUACUAAAGUCCCUUCCAGCUCCAAAAUGUUGUCUUUGAUUUUGACUUUCAUGGACAAAAUAACCCGAAACUAAUUCAGCACAAGUUAACAAACAUCUUUCUUUCUUUCUUUCUUCUUUAAAGAUUGUCCCUGAGCUAACAUCUGUUUCCAAUCUCCCUCUUUUUUUUUUCUUCUCCCCAAAACCCCCAAUACAUAGUUGUAUAUUCUAGUUGUUGGUCCUUCUAAUUCUGUUAUAUAGGACAUUGCCUCAGCAUGGCUUGAUGAGCAGUGCUAGGUCCAUGCCCAGGAUCUGAACUGGUGAAACCCUGGGUGACCAAAAUGGGGUGCCCAAGCUUAACCACUCAGCCCCAGGGCUGACCCCAACAUCUUUCAUCUUGUUCAACAUUGAUAUACCAAUGUUAAUGCAUCUUCCCUGACUACUUAGCAAAACACAUGAAUGUAUAAAGAUAGAGGAUCACAAUUACUGUUUGAGAGCAGACGAAAAGUGAAAAAAAAUUGAUUUUUUUUUUCGAGGAAGAUUACCCCUGAGCUAACAUCUGCCACCAAUCCUCCUCUUUUGCUGAGGAAGAUUGGCCCUGAGCUAACAUCUAUGCCCAUCUCUCUCUAUUUUAUAUGUGGGAUGCCUGCCACAGCAUGGCUUGAUGAGUGGUGCGUAAGUCCACACCUAGGGUUCCAAACCUGCGAACCCUGGGGCCACCAAAGCAAAGCGUACAAACUCAACCACCAUGCCACCAGCCCAGUCCUGAAUUGAUUCCUUAAUUGCAAAACAUCCCUCCAUUAGUCUCCGUUGUUCUUCUCUAGGGAUUCUCUACACUUCAAGAAGUAAAAUUCAAUACUCUCCCCUCCUCCUCUGACCUUGUCUGCUUCCGUCUCCUUCCCUAUGGCCUCUAUUUCCACCUCUGGCUGCAGAAAAAUUAGUAUUUGUGGAAAACAGUACAGCAUGAUUCAAUGAAGAUCUGGAUCAAAGUGAAAAUGGAUGAAUUGUCAUAACCAUGAUUUAUUCAAUCAAAAAGAAAAGAGAAGAGGGAGUAAUGUUGCAGAACCUUCAAUUCUGGUUGUUACUGACUGAAUUCUCUACAGAAGAUAAUGACUUCUCACUCUGGGAGAAAGAAAAUCUCAUCCAUUCAGUUCAUUUGAUCUACGACAAACUUCAGCUGAGGUAUCUAUGAAAGCUGCAAGGUGGGGAAGGGCCCUGAAUACUGCAGUAGCCUAUAGGGCUCUUUGUUUUUCUCAACCCUUAGAAACAUCCAGGUUAGAAGUUAAAUGAGAACACAAACCCUCCCUCCUGUGUGACUUAAUGACAUUGACACUUUAGAGUCAGCCGCACGAGUCAGUUGUACAGUCAUUCUACAAGUUCCAAUCAACUGAGAAAACGCAGAACAAAAAGCAGGAAUGAGACACAGAAAGAACAAUCAAUAAUCAGAUUAUCUUAAAGCAUUAAAAAUUGUUCAACUGAUAUUUGGCUGAUGUCCCAGACAAAGUUCAAGCCAGUACUUAAUAAUUGUCAGAUACGUAGCCUUACCUAGAGUUCAUUUGCCAACACGCUUGAUAUUUCUUCUUCAAGCUAAGAGUAAAUACUGUUCAUCUACAAAUGUAAAGAAACAAGUGAAGAAAUGUGAAAGCAAUCCACUGAUAUCAAAAAUCAUUGGGAAAAUCACAAAAUGGAUGGUGUGGAUAGGCCAAAUUCUCAUUUAACCCUCCGUAUUGAUUUAAUGAGCACAUUUUUGUGGAGCAUUUACUCUAUAUUAUGCACUCUGCUAUGACUCAUGAAUAAUUGGUAAGAUAAGGACCCUGUUCUUAAAAGUUUACAAUCUACCAAAGAGCCUAAUGUCUCCUAUGAAAUACCACUGGCGAAAUUGGCAUUUACGCUUUGCUAUAAAUUAGAAAAAAAUUAUUGACCUAGAUGAGGCUUUUGGGUGGCAAGAACCAGAGACUCAAACAUAGUGAGUUAAGAAGAAGAGAAAAUACUAUAAAAAUCAGUGUAAUCUCUGAGACCGUGGUAACAGGAGCACAGCCAGGCUGACCAAGAGCGAGGGCUAGAAAGGGGAAGCUUUUAGGAACAAAGGCUGUUCUCUAGAAGUGAAAAUCUAGCUACCUUUUUCCAAUUGUUCUUAGUAAACCUGCUUCUUGCUAAAGACCAGUUCUCUCUCUUUAUCUCUCAGUCCAUAUUUUCCCAAAGUGGGUACCCAAAUUGUUCCCUCAGUCUCCCAUUCAGCCCUGGGACGUUAAGUUUGCGUGUCCUUCAAUGUUCGACACCCAUGAUUGAUCAGAAAUGCUGAGGUCCCAUUCCAAAAUCAGGGGAGAGAAUAUAAUUGGCCCAGCUGAGCAUACGUUUCCCUGCUUUCCAGUUAUCUGUAGUGAGGGGUAGAGUCAUGUAUUACAAAUGUGGCUUCAGGGACUCACCCCACUGUGGACGGCAGUUCUCCUGGAAGGGAAAAGAACCAGUCAGACACCGGAAGUUGUUAGAGUGUCAUGUCCACUCUCCACAACUUUUGGCAAAUAUUUUCUUUGAUAAAUAACUUAUUAUAUAUAUAGUGAUGUGCAGAAUUGAUGUAGGCUACUAAGAAAAGAGAAUAAAUGUAAACCAUAAAUUGGUUAAAUAAAGUAUAUUUAAUUUCCUUAUAUAUAAUUUUCAGGCUGCUGAUCAAAUGUGAAGUCAUCCAAAGAUGAAAUCUCAUACAUUUCAUAAGCUAUUAGUGGAAACACCUUUAUUCUAAAAGAUUAGAUUAUGUUUAAACAUAAGAUUAAUGGCUAACAAAGAUGCAUUUGCGAUUAUUUCAAACUCAGAAUAUGUUCAUAUGUUCUAGAACAGAGAGAUAUUUUUUCUUGAAUGCCUUGAUGACAUACACUAAAAUAUUUUAUAUCUGUAUAACCACUACUUUGUAUAUAUCUGAAUAAAGUGUUCAUCACAGAUUAUCAUAUUAGAAUGACUUAUUUUUAUGCAAUGUUUUUACAUAUCUUUCUCUCACUAGUUUGUAAUCUUUUUGAGAAUAGUGCCUGUAACCUUCAAAAUGAGUUAACUGUAAAUAAGUAAUUAUGCUGGUUUAUAUAGAUUCAUUUACUUUUUCCAAAUUACUACAUGUUAUUCUUUAUUUAUCUAGAGGAGAAAGUACCCAGAAACUUCAACCAUCUCUGAUAGUUAUGAUCCUAAAAGUCAGGGAGAAAAACACUCUUGUCAAUUCUAGUGACACAUAAAAUUAAUAAAGCACAUACAUUUAAUGUGCUUUGUUUCAGUGGAGAUGAGUGGAGGUGAGAAGGAGUGGAACUCCUUACCUGUUUUACUUGCUUAGUGUUAUGUUUCAAGUGAUCAGUCUUUUAGGUAUUUGAACUGUAUUUGAACCUGUUCUGGGUUACAGUCAGGCACCAGUGGAGUUAAAACUGUAGUAAAAGCAGUAAAAGAUUGGACUUGAGGAUCAAUAUUUAAAAGUUGGUUUAGAACAUUUAAAUUAGAUUUUUAAAAGUCUUAGUCAUAUUUCACAUGUUAAAAUAAUUGCUAACAAAUAAAAAUAGCUUUACUUUUGAUGUUUUAUUAUCCAAUAUAUCGUACCAACUAUAAUAUUUAAGAGCUAAAAAGAAACCAUUUGAGAAACGGGUUUGUUGCAUAGGUAUUUAAGUGGAAACUUUACCUGUAGCUUAGUUGAAGCCCUAAGAGGCUAGUCACAGCUUACAACAGCAGUAACUUCUUCUCUGAGGAUCCCUCAGUCUUCAUUUUUGAACUAAUCUGUUCUAAGUUUAGAAACUGGAAAUGGAAAAUAGGACGAGGAAUAUCAAGUUAAAGUAAUCAUUUAAUAUUUUAAUUUUCUCAUAUAGGGAACAACAUAUAUUUUGCAUUUAAAUACUAUUUAUAAUUCUGAUUAUGUAGAAUUUUUUUUAAAAAGCAAAGAAUAUAAAUAACUAGAAUGGAAUUUCAUUUUGUUCCAUUCUUUUAUAAGAAAAAUGUAAAUUAAAUUAAGCUGACAUCAGGAUCAUAUUAAGAAAAGAACCCAUAGGAGAAGCAAUGAAGCGUGUAGAAACGAUUCCUUCUCUGCUCUGUCGGCACAGAACACUGUAAAAUGACAAGCAUUGCUCAAAGGACGUUGAAAAUCCAAAAGUGCCUUUAAAUAAUCAAAAUACGUUAGAUUAAAGUCGACAUAGUUUACUCUCCAGUACGCAUUUAUUUUUUCCAAUAUAUGUACCUAUUAUGAAAAUAUAGCAAUAACACAGAAAAAAUAAAUGUCUUUUACUCUUAUUACUUCUUAAUAAUUACGGUUAAUUUUUUGGUGAUAUCUUUUCAAUGUGCUUUCUCUGUCUAGUCUUUAGGAUAAAAAACCCCCUAAUUUUUAGAGAUCUUACAUAAAGCGUUCUAUGUCCUGCUUUCAUUGUGCUCUACUUUUUUCACUGAACAUUGUAUCAUGUGUUUUUCAUAAGCAUUAUUUUUAAUGGCUGUAUGUUAUUUUUUUGAGUGUAAAGACAACAGACUUCUUAACUGUGCCUCUAUGUUUUGAU
rnacentral:lncRNA from 1 species